CGGAGGGUGCAAGCGUUAUCCGGAUUCACUGGGUUUAAAGGGAGCGUAGGUGGGUUGGUAAGUCAGUGGUGAAAUCCCCGAGCUUAACUUGGGAACUGCCAUUGAUACUAUCAGUCUUGAAUACUGUGGAGGUUAGCGGAAUAUGUCAUGUAGCGGUGAAAUGCUUAGAUAUGACAUAGAACACCAAUUGCGAAGGCAGCUGGCUACACAAUUAUUGACACUGAGGCUCGAAAGCGUGGGGAUCAAACAGGAUUAGAUACCCUGGUAGUCCACGCCCUAAACUAUGGAUACUCGACAUACGCGAUACACUGUGUGUGUCUGAGCGAAAGCAUUAAGUAUCCCACCUGGGAAGUACGAUCGCAAGAUUG
rnacentral:rRNA from 1 species